GUUCAGCCGCGUGUCAGUGCGUUUUCGUGUGAGGCGAGUUGUUCGGUGAAGGAAGGAGGGGGCGGAGAGGGAGGUAGGAAAUGGUGGGGGCAAUCAUGGCGAGAAAGCCUGGUCAUGGGGGCGGAAGCAGCAUUCGCCGCCGGCGAGACAGUAGACGUGCGCCACACCUCCCCCCGUCUCCACACCUCCCCCACACCUCCCCCAUCGUGUGGUUUUUGGUCCAAUUAGUGGAUCGGCCGGUAGGCUGUUUGUUGGUUUUGAUUUCAGCACCAUGGUCUGUACUUUUUCUUCAGCUAGGCUUUCAGAUCUAGUUUUGCUGUAGAGGUUUUCUCUUCUGCGGUGAGAUCUUAUGCAGAACAAUUUUGGGGACGAUUGUGUGGGUGUUCUACUCGCAGAGCAUUUGCCUGGUGAAAUUUGUUAAUUUUGAGCAAUGUCUGGUGUGUCUUUUCUGGCGAAAUUAAGUGAAGACGAACUCACUAAACCGUACUGUGCCAUAGACCAUAGUUAUUGUGGCUGCAUCGUUUAUUGUUCUCAUUGGCUGCUGGAUAUGUCUUGUACUGCCUGAAUUUUUAGCAUAGAAGGGCAAGCAAUGGUUUCAGCACUGCAUUAUGGUGUGCAAGGUUCCUGGUGUUUGUCAUGCCUGAUCUUCUGUCAUUCUUUGUUUUCAGUAUCUUUUGGUUCUCUCUUAUAUCUCUGACUUAAGUCUUUCAUUUCCACUUUUGUGUUUAGUUGUCAUGUACUUUUAGCAAGUUCGGAUUCUCUACACAUUGUGUAUUCAGCUUGUACUUUUGCUGAGCUAUUUGGUGUGAAUUAUCAACUUGGCCUUUUUUAUGUCUACCUUUCUACUAAAUUCUAUUUUCUUUCCAUCAGAUUUUUGUUGAUUUAUUUUUGUGUGCUGGCUCAGUUCUAAGUCUGAUGUCCCAACUUGCAGUUUGAUUCAGAAAGUUCGCCACUUUUGCCUGACACAAUUGGUGUUGCUGUUGAUACGGGUCCUGCAAUGCUUGCUUGCACAUAGAUUUCUAAUGGUUGAUGUUUUUUCCGUAUCCGUGAGAAGUUGCUUUCAAUUUAUCUUCAUUGCAAGUCAUGCAUGAUAUGUGCUGCAGAUAGUAAUCAUACUGCAGUUUCUGAGAUCAGCUGCCAUUGUUCAGCUGAAGAUGAUGUUUGUUGACAAAUAACUCAAUCUAUUUGCGCCAAUCACAAGACUGAAAGGAGACCAUGCUACCCAAGUUUCAAUGUGGAUGUAGUGGCAGAAGAAACGCGUUUGUGGAGGGAUAUUUCAGCUGAACCAUAUUUGAAUCAAGCAUUGCAAGCUGUAACUCUCAAGGCCAAUCCCAGUUCAUCCAAAUUCCUCACACUAUGGUAUGGUAGUGUGCUUUCUUGCAUGAACAUUGCCGUCUCAAGCCAACCAUACAGCUCAGCAGGAUCGGAGAAUUGAUAAUCUAAGUGUACAUCGAUCAGACUACCAGUAACAAGAGCUUUUGUUAUUAGUAUAUACCUGGAGAAACCCAAAAGCCUUGCUGCCUCAGUAUGCGGAACCGAAGGGCGACAUCAUGAAGGCUAGAGCUAUUGAAUUCACCAGCAUGAGUGCUUCUUAAUGUGGAGUCAAUUUGUUCAUGAAAAUGUUGAUCUACGCUCAGGUGUUGGAGUGUGUCUACAAGCUAGGCGAGCCAAUAAACAGAAUCCAGGCAUAUCUCAACAAGGGCUCCAGACCAGCAGGUAACUUUCGGUUAGGCCAUGAAACAACUGGGAUUUCACACAUAAAACCGAAAGAAAAACAUGGAGAGACUGAAAAUGCACUGCUCCCAGAUGCUGUUAUUACUACUGUAGCAAGAUGAAGCAUGCCUGUAACGGUUCUGGAUUAUAGUUGAUGAAGAAGUCGCCCCACACUGUGGGAUGAAACACAGGCGCCACCUCUGGCACGGCGGCGGCGGGGGCGGCGGUGGCGGUGGUGAUGGCAUCAUGGGACGCCAUGUGAAAAUGUGUUGCCUGGUAACUGGUGUAGUGGUGUGGCUUUGAGAAAACCUGGAACGGCCGACGGCCUUAUAUACACAGCAUGGCUGCGCGGGAGCACUCAUCCAGGAAAGUGCGUCUUUGAACAGGGAAGGGCACCAUCUAAUGUUUUCUGUACAAAGAAUAGUCAGCUAAAACGACACCUCUGACCCAACUUAAUUCGCGUCUCCAUUGGGAGAACAAGCUGAACUGUCAAUCACGCGAAGACCCACGCGCAGCCGUCUGUUUUCCGAGUAGCUUUGUUUUUUGGACGCGUCUAGCAGGCGGCUGGGCGCCCGCUAGCGUGCCUGGGCGGUCUGUUUUUUUUCAAAUAAUGCACGUGAUGCUCCUGUGGUUAAAAAGACACGGUUAAUUAAUCAUCCCUA